GGGCUUUGGCGCCAGAGGGCUGCCCCUCGGCCGGUGACCGAGUUAAGCACCGAGCUGUAAAUCGCUUGAGACCUGUAUUUGGUUGUUUUGUUGGUUUUGCCAAGUAAGGUCACUUGAGGAUUUCUUGGCUCGAGGUCCCAGGUUGCGCAGACUCUGACUGCAUCGAGUUGAGAAUUUUGGUCAGAAUGUUAAAGUGGAAACCUACCCCAGGCUGUCAUGACUUUUGCAUUCUGGUAACCAACUGAUCCUACCCGGACCCAUGAUGCAUAACUCAGCUGGUCCUGUGGCGCACACCCAGAGGCCGACUCAAUGCAUGAAGACUGUUUUCCACACCCCUAUGAUUUCAUCCCCAACCAAGCAGCAGCAUCCAUUCCCUAGCCCCCUGCCCACCAAAUUAUCCAUAAAAACUCUGGCUUCUGAGUUCUCAGCAAAACUGAUUUUAGUAAUAACUCCAGUUCUUCCACUUGGCUGGCCUUAGUUAAUUAAACUUAUUCUUUACUAUA
rnacentral:lncRNA from 1 species